CUUAAUUUCCAGUUCCGCCUUGGGACGAGUCCCUGGCUGGGGGAACCGCAUCAGGCCUGACACCCAUCCCAUUCCGCCUUGGGACGAGGCCCUGGCUGGGGGAACCGCAUCAGGCCUGACACCCAUCCCAUUCCCCCCUAAACCCAGAACGAGAUCCAACCUCACUCCCCAGCCCCUUCCCCACCUCGCCGCUCAGGCUGUGAUGGAAAGGUCCCUGGGAGUGGGGAGGAGGGCAAUUUGAAACCCGGAGGGGAUCCUGUAGCCCAGUUCUCCUCGGUUCCCUAAACCUCCAGGAAAGCGGAGAAAGUCACAUUGUGGUGGCAGCAGCGGGUUUGUUUUUUUUAAUCUGUUAAUAAAACGCAAGUGAAUCAAAUCCGCCCUAAGGGAAGGGGGGGGCGCGGCGAGGCAGAGGCCAUGGUGUUUGCAGAAGUUGGAAAUUUAAUAAGAAGGAAAAAUAAAAAUAGCCACUGUGCUGGAGAGAGAGAGAGAGAGAAGGUUGGGAGAAGCAGGCAAGUGUGGGACUCCUGGCUGGGUGGAAACGUGCAGAGGGGGCUGGGGAAGGCGAGGGCACCACUAGUCCGGAGGAGCAAGGGAGACACUGCUGGGGAUACCAGGAGGGGAGUCUUUGGGGUGUCACCAGAACAGUCCAGUUCCUUGGCAGAUUUUUCACCAGCAGUGAGCUGGGCACAGAGGUUGGGGUUUGGUCCUCUAAACACCUGGGUGUAGAGGUCCAGCCUCUGGUUACUUGGUCUUCACAGCGCCCCCCACCUUCUGAGCUACUCAAGAGAUGGGGGACAGUAGCAGUACUGCCAAGAACAGUUGUGCAAGUUGCGCACUGCACAAGCAUACCAGACAGAGAGGCUAGAGCAGAAGCUAACAUCAUCUGUUCCCCUCACCACACAUUGCAUCUGCCCAGAGGAAGAGGUGCCGUGCUGGGCAGUGAAUGAAUGAACCUUGCCCUGGGGUUAACACUCCAGUGGGAUGAACAGACAAACCCCACAAGCACUGCAUACGAGCUAUCAGCUUCCCAGUUUGCACAAUUCAUCAAGAAAUAAUGCGGGGCCACUGGCACAAAUGAUGAGGCAUCUCCCGGAAGCUUAACUUCCUAUCCAUCCCAUUUCUUGGACAGACGAUGCCAGUUAAUUACUUUGAAUGUUAUUUCCCCUAAGAUCCAGAUGAGUACACAUUAGAUGAAAUUCCAGAAGUUAUCUUCAAAUUUUGCUACUCAUUGAAUGUCAUGAAGAUCCUGGAAACAAAAGAAAAAAACAAGAAACAACCUUGCUACUCAACAGGGGAUUGAUAUUAUCACAUUUGAGAGAACUUCAGAAUCUCAGGCCUAAACCCAGGCCUACUAAAUUAGGAUCUGCAGUUUCUCACAAUCUUCAGGUGAUUUCUAUGGUCAUGAAAGUUUGAAAAGCUGCCUUGAAACAGUCCUUCCUAAAACUGAAGUGGAGGUGCAGCAAAAAUCAUCUGGUAAAUUGUUAAAAGUAAUCUCAAAUGCAACCCAAAUUUACAGAAUCCCAGGUGAAGCUCAGUAGUCUGUAUUUUUAUCCUUCUCCCCAAAUAAUUCUGAUGUGCAGGCAAGUUUGAAAACCACUGCGUUCAAGAAAAUGGAUACUCCCCUUACCAAGUGGAAAGUAGGAUUUUGGAAACUCACGCAAGGGAAGCAAAAAGAUGGCUCAGGAGGCAUGAUUACAACAGGAUUGAUGCAAACGGAAGCCGAAGCUUAACCACAGACAUUAAUAUACGCCUACAAAAGAAAAUGCUAAGGAAGUCAAGUGGUCUGCAGGAAUUCUGAAGAAAAAUGGAGAACCAAAGACCAAAAUUUGUCAAUGAAUUUCCAGCACAGCCCCAGGUUAAGGGAGUGAAUUUCUUGACUGAAUGACACAGACUCUGGACCACCUGAUCGGUUAUUACCUUAAUGGAGGAAUUAUAUUACAAUGUAUAGGUACUUUAAUUAGAAUGACCUGGCAGUUACUGAGGCAAAAUUUUCUGUUCCUUUGUAUUCUGUAAUACAAGAAGGAUCUACAUGGAUGUUCUCUUCUCUGAACUGUUUGGAUGAACUGGUCAACGGCACUCAUCAUGCCUUGGGUUUUAAAUCUGCAUUGUGGUCAUAAUCUGUUAUUUAAUUAAUUUCUCAUAUUUUUAAUAAAAAGUUUGCCUAUAUAUUUUAGACAGAAAUUACCUUACUUUGCUGA